UGCGGGGUAGAGCAGCCCGGUAGCUCGCAAGGCUCAUAACCUUGAGGUCGCUGGUUCAAAUCCAGCCCCCGCAACCA
rnacentral:tRNA from 4 species